UACGUAGGGGUGCGAGCGUUAAUCGGAAUUACUGGGCGUAAAGCGUGCGCAGGCGGCGCGUUAAAGACAGGGUGUGAAAGCCCCCGAGCUUUAACGUUGGGAAUUGACGCUUGUGACUGGCGAGCUGGAGUGUGGCAGAGGGAGGUGGAAUUCCACGUGUAGCAGUGAAAUGCGUAGAGAUGUGGAGGAACACCGAUGGCGAAGGCGGCUCUCGUGGGACGGUACU
rnacentral:rRNA from 1 species